UACAGAGGUCCCAAGCGUUGUUCGGAUUUAUUGGGCGUAAAGGGUGCGUAGGUGGUCAAGCAAGUCGGGUGUGAAAUACCGGAGCCUAACUCCGGAAUGGCAUUCGAUACUGCUUGGCUCGAGGUCUGGAGAGGUGACUGGAAUUCUUGGUGUAGCAGUGAAAUGCGUAGAUAUCAGGAGGAACACCAGAGGCGAAGGCGAGUCACUGGACAGAUCCUGACACUGAGGCACGAAAGCCAGGGGAGCAAACGGG
rnacentral:rRNA from 1 species